UCUGAGGAGGCAAGAAGCUUUCUUGGAGGCUUUGACCACUGGCAGGAGCUUCAGAAGAGCCUCCUCCGAAGCCGAGUAUUUCUUCAGGUUGAACUCAUCCAGAUCUUUCUCUGAUGACAGCAGGAUGAAGACCAGAGCUGACCACUGAGCAGGAGAGAGAUAAUAUCUGUAGAGACUUCCUGAACUCAGGCCUCGCAGCAGAGUCUGAUUGGUCUUCAGUGAAAGACCCAGGAGGAAGCGGAGGAACAAGUCCAGGUGUCCAUUUGGACUCUGUCAGUGUGAGGAAGCAGAGGAAGCUGCCUCCAGCUGCUGUUCUUCACAAUCAAUCCACUAGAUGGCGUCAUGAAGCUGCAGUGAAGUGGAGAGCAGCACACACACUAUGCAUGGAGGACUGUUUCCACUCAGUGGCACAGCAGCAGUAACUGAGGGAGAAACGAGCUGCGCCAUCGUGCUGCAAAGUGAAAGUAAAAAUAAGAGGCGGAUAUGAGCGGAGCGGAGUGACGUCACAGUCCUGCCUACAGCAGUGCUAAUAAAAAAAA